rnacentral:rRNA from 1 species
CAGGGUCGAAAGACGGACUUAGUGAUCCGGUGGUUCCGCAUGGAAGGGCCAUCGCUCAACGGAUAAAAGCUACCCCGGGGAUAACAGGCUUAUCUCCCCCAAGAGUUCACAUCGACGGGGAGGUUUGGCACCUCGAUGUCGGCUCAUCGCAUCCUGGGGCUGUAGUCGGUCCCAAGGGUUGGGCUGUUCGCCCAUUAAAGCGGUACGCGAGCUGGGUUCAGAACGUCGUGAGACAGUUCGGUCCCUAUCCGUCGUGGGCGUAGGAAAUUUGAGAGGAGCUGUCCUUAGUACGAGAGGACCGGGAUGGACAUACCUCUGGUGUACCAGUUGUCGUGCCAACGGCAUAGCUGGGUAGCUAUGUGUGGACGGGAUAAGUGCUGAAAGCAUCUAAGCAUGAAGCCCCCCUCAAGAUGAGAUUUCCCAACUUCGGUUAUAAGAUCCCUCAAAGAUGAUGAGGUUAAUAGGUUCGAGGUGGAAGCAUGGUGACAUGUGGAGCUGACGAAUACUAAUCGAUCGAAGACUUAAUCAA